rnacentral:rRNA from 1 species
GACGAACGCUGGCGGCGUGCUUAACACAUGCAAGUCGAACGGGAUCCAAAGGCUUUUUGUUCUUGGUGAGUGUGGCGAACGGGUGAGUAACACGUGAGUAACCUUCCCCCUUCUUUUGGAUAACCUCAUGAAAGUGUGGCUAAUACAGGAUAUUUCAGGCUGGUCGCAUGAUUGGUUUGGGAAAUGGGUUGGUCUGGUGGGGGAUGGGCUGGCGGCCUCUCAGCUUGUUGGUGGGGUGAUGGCCUGCAAAGGCGGUGACGGGUAGCCGGCCUGCGAGGGGGGACGGUCACACUGGGACUGGGAGACGGCCCAGACUCCAACGGGAGGCAGCAGUGGGGGAGUUUGGGCAAUGGGCGCAAGCCUGAUGCAGCGACGGCGCGUGAGGGGUGAAGGCCUUGGGGAUGCAAACCUCUUUCGCUGGGUUGAUAGGCCAUGCUUGGGGUGUGGUUGAUGGGAACUAGUAAGGAAGUACCGGCUAACUACGUG